rnacentral:rRNA from 1 species
CAGUCGCCGCGGGAAUACGAAGGGUGCAAGCGUUACUCGGAAUUACUGGGCGUAAAGCGUGCGUAGGUGGUGGUUUAAGUCCGUUGUGAAAGCCCUGGGCUCAACCUGGGAAUUGCAGUGGAUACUGGGUCACUAGAGUGUGGUAGAGGAUAGUGGAAUUUCCGGUGUAGCAGUGGAAUGCGUAGAGAUCGGAAGGAACAUCAGUGGCGAAGGCGACUAUCUGGGCCAACACUGACACUGAGGCACGAAAGCGUGGGGAGCAAACAGGAUUAGAUACCCGCGUAGUCCCUGUCUCUUAUAA